UUGAUGCUCGGGCUCCCUGUCCAGCUCCGGUGGCCAAAGCGUGGGCAGAGACACGGUCAUGCCCCAAGGGACAAGGUGAAGUGAUGGUGACGUUUCUCAGCCCACCCGACCAGCUGCAUCCAAACUGCGCACUGAGCUGCGUAACAGGGUGUCCGGGAGCACCGGCCUCGGGAUGCGUCUGGGAAGUCGGGGUGUUUCCUACCGAGGGAGAAGGUCACACCGAGAAGCUGUAAAAUGAGCAUUUAACUGCCUGAGGGUGGAUCUGAGCUCUCCCCGUGCACACCAGCCUUGCUGCCCGUCUUGGUUUUCCAAGCAGGAGCUGCCCAGCACCCACAGGUUAUUCCCCACCCAACUCUCCAGCCUGGCCAGGUCCCGCUGGAUGGCAGCACAGCCUUCUGAGCACGGUCCAAGAAAAUCCCCCCCCUCAAAAAAAAUUGAUCCUAACCAGGAUGUUUCCUGUCAAAGAAGCUGAGGAUGCCGUGAUCACCAUGGCUGCAGUGAUCCCCCAAGCCCAGGGAGCAUCAGAACCCCUCCAUUUCCAGCCAAAAAUGAAGGUUUGUGUUGGGAAAUGGGUGCUCUAAAAUCAUGUCUUUGGGGCUUGCUGCUGCCACCUGUUCAUUUCCAAAAUCCUCCAGAUCAAUGUCCUGGGCCAAGCAACAUCUUCCUUUGGGAGAAACCCUCCCAAGGGGGCAAGGUGAGGGUGCAGAAGGGAGCGGUGGAGGGGACUGAGCCUCACACAGCAGCCCCGGGCAGGACAGAGCUGGGGACAGCCCCAUGUGUCGAACAUUUGGGAGGAUUUCUGUUUGACGCUGUAAGAAUGAAUGGCAGGCGGCGCAGACGGUCAUGGCAGGGAAAACCACAUCGACGUACCUCUCUGGAGAGCUCUGCUCUCAUCGGGAUUUCCCCUGGACCAACAAAAGAAAGCCCACCAGCAGUUUCUGCUGCAGAAAACCUGAAUAUCAUUGGGAAUGUGGCCUUGCAGCAGGGCCGGACACCGCCCCGGGGUUCAGGGGUGCCUGAGCACUGUUGUGCUAAGGGAGAGGGUUUGCCUUGGUGUCCGGCAGCUAAUGGGUUGUCCCAGCAACUCUGGCACCACAACACUGGGCUCAGCCCCACUGGGGUUUCCUCCCCACUGCCAGUGUCCCCGAAUGUCUCCAGCCACAUCAGCAGCAUGUGGGUGUUCACAGCCAUGGGGACACGUGUAGCCUUGAGGGCCAGAGCCACUGGCACCAACUUGCUGCUUUACAGACGAUGCUGAGUCUGACCGAGAUGCGCACGGCUGCUGCCCGCACUAAUGGGGAGACCAUCACCUCAGCCUGAGGUUGUGCGUGUUCACAGAGCCCCGGAGCAAACAAAUCCUGUAAAUGUUUGCCACUCCCUGCUUGGAGCUCAUUGGGAUGAUUUUGGGGGACGCCAGUGGGAAAACAGGUGGGAGGGACACUGUGAUCCUGGUCCUGCCCCGGGAUGAUUUUUUCCUCUCUCUCAAAUCCUCUGACACCCCGAGUUGGUGCAAGGGAUGGAGCCGUGCCUGGCCUUGCAGCUCCUAUACCCUUGGACUUCAGUACGUGGUGCAAAAAUAGCUGUCAAAAAGGGGAGAGAUGACCUUUGCCAUUUGAAUAACUGUUUGCUUUGUCAGCACAAGCACAGCAUGUUUGGGGAUUUUGUGGAAGGUUCCAGCGGCUCUGAGCCAGGACCAGACAGCUUUCACUCUCUCCGCUGGCAGCUGUGAACCGCAGCGGGAAUGUGGCCGCCUAAUCCCGGCUCCGAGAGGCACCCGCCAGAGGAGAUGCCGUCCAGGGAGCGCGGGCUCCUGCCAGAGAUGCUCCUGUUUGG
rnacentral:lncRNA from 1 species